CUGGAAAUGGUUUCGCGCCAGUCCAGCAGAGGGCGCCUGCUCCAAAAUACCGGAAGUGAUUGGCCAUCUCCGUCCAAUCAGCAUCCAGAAGGCCAAAAGCUGGAUACCAAAUAUAAGUGUCUCCAUAAGAAGUCAUUAGUGAGCUGGGCGGGAAUGAAAAUUAAGCAAUUAAAGGACGUUAACUGCUGUCAUAAAAACUAUUUUCCAGUGACACUUGAGGAUGACCUGGAUCUAUGCCAGGAAAAUUUCAUCAUCCAGCAGGCAAUUUGCCUGUCACUCCUUCAGUGUCCCAACACUGCGGGCUAUUUUCACCCCAGCUGUGAAACUGAAAUAUUGUCUCAGACCCGCUUAUAUUUCACAAUAUGUCUUAUUUCUUUAACUCUGUCUUUUUUUUUAAUGUCAUGUCAUUUUGAUCAAGUCAGAGGUGGCUGUGAUAGGCAGACCUUCUACACAAUUAGCAACACAAUUAGCAUAUCUGCUAUUAUGUACAACUCUUGUAUAGCUCUGCAAGACUGUUUAGGUUGUUGCAUUAUAAUAUUACUAAAAACUGCUGCUGUAUUAACAAAGUAGCUUCAAACGUUUUUGUGUCAAAAUGAUGCUAAUGAGAGCAGUAAGAGCUGAUCAAAGCAAUGAAGCUGCAGACGAAAGAUAAAACAGUUAGUUGAAUCUGCAAAAGGGCACAAUAGAACUGGCGGAGAUGCAAAGUGGAAAACUCGCUGCACGUAUACGUUUACGGAUGGAUGACUACUUGUCUCCUGCCAAAGAAAUCAAUAUUUAAUUCCCUGCACAGUUUUAAUUUUCGAUCUAAAAUGCUGAUCCCGCCGACUGUUAGAGUGACUAUCGAGACAAACCUCUUGAAUUUCUGUUUCUACAAGUGGACAGGAGCAAGUGGAGGAUCACUGGCAGUCUGUUCCAGAGCAACAGUUAAAGCUCGUUACUGCAAAAACUGCUUGUAAUUUACUCAAGAACAGAUUGUCUGCCAUUUGUUGUUGGUGUAAGCUGUCUCUUGACAGAUGCCCUCCAAUGCAUGUCUGCCAAUUUUUAAAAAAAAAAGAAAAGAAAGGGAAAAUGUGUGCUAUUUUGUGGGUUUGUGUAUCCCUCAACUUGCUAGGUGACUACAGACAGAUUUCUGUGAUUGCAGGAUCUGAUUUUCCUUAGUUCUGCUGUUUUUUGGGUUGUUUUUUUUUUUUUAAUGCAGUACAUUUUAUUCUACAAAAAAUGCCCUUCCUGGAAACACAUAGGUAUUGUAUGUUUAAAUGCAACAAAGGGACAACAUGGCUGAUUUUUGGUUUUCACUCAAGCACUUGACUGAAAUCUGUGCAGUACAUG